UCCUUCUCAAACAGCGGCUUCUGGAGUGGUAUGGACCCUGAGAACCUCAGUCGGAGGUCUCAUUUCCGUCGUAUAAAACCCCGCUCUGUCUCUCUCUCUCUCUCCCCCCACAGUCUCAAACCCCUCAACUGGUAUGAACGACUCUCGCUUUCCGUUCACUUCAUCUGGCUUCCAUAUAUUCUUAAUUGCCUCUGCUCAUGCAAAUUCUUAUGGGGUCUUUGUAUCCUCCGUGAAUGCCAUUGGAGCCUGCAGGUAAUUUGUGCUGAUUAGUAAUUGGAUGAAAAGAAUUCUAGGGCCCGAAGGGAGAGUUAUGGCAGAAGGCACAGAAGUUGAAGAGCGAUUGGAUUUUGAUGAGGAUAAUUCCAUGGAAGAGAUGGACGAUGAUAUUGAAGAACAGAUUGACGAUAAUGUUGAAGCACAGAUAGACGAUGAUGUUGAAGCAGAACAAAAGGACUCUAUAACCGAGAUCAGUGGGAAAGAUCAAGAAGCAGAUAGAAGUCACAUUGCCUCUGAAUUCGUGGAAGAUGAGGAAAAGCCAGCUUCUUCUGUUGAUGAGGAUGAGAAGGAGAAGCAUGCUGAGCUACUUGCCCUUCCUCCCCAUGGUUCUGAAGUUUUCAUUGGUGGACUUCCUCGAGAUGCCAUCGAAGAAGAUUUGAGGCAUCUCUGUGAGCCAAUUGGUGAAGUUGUUGAGGUAAGAUUAAUAAAAGAUAAGGAAACUGGCGAUGCCAAGGGUUAUGCUUUUAUAGCUUUUAAAACAAAAGAGAUUGCACAAAAGGCCAUUGAAGAGAUCCAUAACAAAGAAUUCAAGGGUAAAAAAUUAAGGUGUUCACUGUCUGAAACUAAGCACAGAUUAUUCCUUGGUAAUGUUCCAAAGAGCUGGACCCAGGAUGAGUUUAGAAAAGUCAUUGAGGGGGUUGGCCCUGGAGUUGAGAGCAUUGAGCUUAUAAAGGAUCCUCAGAAUCCAAGCAGAAAUCGCGGUUUCGCUUUUGUUUUAUAUUACAAUAAUUCUUGUGCCAAUUAUUCGAGGCAGAAUAUGUCAAAUGCGAAUUUCAAGUUGGAUGGCAACACCCCAACUGUCACCUGGGCUGAUCCAAAGAGUGGACCUGAUCAUUCUGCUGCUUCUCAGGUUAAGGCUCUUUAUGUCAAAAACAUUCCCGAGAACACUAGUACUGAAAAACUGAAGGAGCUAUUUCAGCAGCAUGGGGAACUUACAAAAGUGGUUAUGCCACCUGGAAAAGCUGGUGGCAAACGGGAUUUUGGGUUCAUCCAUUAUGCUGAAAGGUCAAGUGCAUUGAAGGCUGUUAAAGAUGCAGAGAAAUAUGAAAUUGAUGGCCAAGUAUUGGAUGUUGCACUUGCUAAACCUCAAUCUGAUAAAAAGUCAGAUGCUACUCAUCCCUAUAAUGUCAUGCCUCAUCCAAACCAUCUUUCACAUUCUGGGUAUGGUGGUUUUGCCAGUAAUCAAUAUGCCUCUCUAGGGGCUGGGUAUGGUGUUGGCACUGGUUUUCAGCAGCCAGUGAUAUAUGGUAGGGGUCCCACGCCAGCAGGAAUGCAUAUGGUUCCGAUGGUUUUACCAGAUGGCCGAAUUGGUUUUGUUCUUCAGCAGCCUGCCGCACAGAUACCACCUCCCCGGCCUCGUAGAAUUGAUCGAAGCAAUGCUCCAAGUCCAAGCAGACCACCCGCUCGACCACAAGGUAGUGGCAAUGAUGAAGGCAAUCGUGGCAGAAGGUACCGACCCUAUUAGUGAGCUCUUUCCCACGGCUUCUGCUUCAUAGCAUCUAUCCUUGGCAGUAAUUUCCCGCAUCCCACAGCUCCUGCUUCAGAGCUUCUCUCCAGAUUUGAUCCCAGCAACAGGGAUUCUAUUAGUUACUCCUUAAAGCGAUCAUUGUUGCUCAAUCCCUAAUGAAUGCAAUUACAAAUUUUUGCCAAGGCUUUUGCUUCUCUAGGAGGAUUUGGGAAUUAAAACUAUAAAGGCAUUAGAGAUGUUCUUGUUUCAGUUUUUCAUGGGAUAGUAGCGUUUUCCUGAUGUAGAGGACAGCAUAUAUGAAGUAGUUAGAUGGUGCCACAUAGAUGAAGCACAGCAAUGAUAUUUAUUAUUAAAAAUAAAUAAAUAAUAGUAUUGUAUUAUUGUAGAGAGUGCAAUUACGGAGUUCAGAUUUUGAGUGAUUAGCCCAUAGUCAAAAAUUGACAUAUUAGCCGAACUUAACUUUUUAGAAUAGCUAAUCCAAUGGCAAUGUUUGGCACAUAUAAGGGUACUUGGCUAUGUUUAGUUAGUAAGGUAAUCUGUAAUCAUCUCAAAUGAACUCAUUACUAUUCAUUAUUAUUUACAAAUGAUUUAUUAUAUUUUAUUAUUUUUUUAAUAUUAUUUACAUAUCAUCUAAAAUCAGUUCAAAAUCCAAUCGUAAUCUAAUGAGCGCUUAUGCAUACUUAAAAGUUCUGACAUGGUUGCUGCUUGUUCCAUUUCUAGCUUGUCGUGAUCAUUGAUUCCGGUUUUUCCUCCCUAGUGUUUAGAAACUACUUAGCAUUUUCUAUAUUUUUAAUACCACUGGUUGGGAAAUUUCCCAGCCUUUUGAUACACCUUUUUAAGUUGCCAAAAAUGUGUGCUGUGCUCAUUCAACGUUUGUUAUUUAUUUAUUAUUAAUCGCAAAAUAGUACUACGAUUUUAAUAAUUUUACGUAUUGAAGCGUAAGUUUUCAGUUUUUUACCAAAUUAGUACUUCAACUUUAAAAUCUCAGACUUGGGUGCUUUUGUCAAUCUUUCGUUAGAUAAUUAACAAGAUAUUGUCACGUUACGUGUCAAUCUUUGAUUGACUGACUUGCCAUAUUAAGUCACCUAAUUACAAUGUAGAUUAAAAUUCAUAGAUCAGUUUUAUAAAAGUUGAAAACCUAAGCAUAGAUUUGUAAGCAUUCCAAGUGCUUCCUCUCAAAUUCCUUAUGCUUAACAACGAUUUUGGUUCAUCAUCCUCACACAUGUUCUUAGCUUGGGUUUUACCAUUGAGGACGAUAUCAUUUCAUCCUAUACAAGCUAUACAGAAGGAAAAAAUCUUAUUAUUAUUGAGAUAACAUCAAGGAAUCCAAAUCACACAAGCCAAUCUAAGACGCAUAUUGCACACAUAAGUUACAGAGCAAAACAUUUCUUUUUCUUUUUUUAACAAGUAAAGAAAUUUAUCAGUAGCAAGUCUUGAACAGAAAACAUUUGCCCAUCUUUACCUGCCGGUGAAACAUCAGACUUAAGAGAAAGACAAAGAUAAGCCUAUCGAACAAACUUAGACACAACAGAAAGAAAGAGGAUAAAUGCUUUAAUGACAGAUUUUACCGAAAUAUACUCAUAAGUUAAUAAGAUGGACGUGAUAAGUUAAAUUGUAAAAUUAUUUUUCUUAUAAAGUAAAUUUAACGAAUGUAAAACAGCAUCAUAGAUGAUAACUAAACUUUAUUUUUCUGGAAUCUCUUCGGUCAUCCUUAAGAAAGAAAGGUGAUAUAAGUUAUGAACAGCCCACUAAUUCACUAACAUAGGUGCACCAAAUGCGUCAGCAGCCUGCCAGCAUGUUAGAUUGCGGAUGAACUUUU